UACGUAGGGGGCUAGCGUUGUCCGGAUUUAUUGGGCGUAAAGAGCGUGUAGGCGGCCAGGUAGGUCUGCUGUGAAAACUCGAGGCUCAACCUCGAGACGUCGGCGGAAACCAUCUGGCUAGAGUCCGGAAGAGGAGAGUGGAAUUCCUGGUGUAGCGGUGAAAUGCGCAGAUAUCAGGAAGAACACCCGUGGCGAAGGCGGCUCCUCUGGGACGGUACUGACGCUGAGACGCGAAAGCGUGGGGAGCGAACAGG
rnacentral:rRNA from 1 species